GGACGCCAGUCUGCAUGGAGCCGACCUUGAAAUACCACCCUUUAAUGUUUGAUGUUCUAACGUUGACCCGUAAUCCGGGUUGCGGACAGUGUCUGGUGGGUAGUUUGACUGGGGCGGUCUCCUCCUAAAGAGUAACGGAGGAGCACGAAGGUUGGCUAAUCCUGGUCGGACAUCAGGAGGUUAGUGCAAUGGCAUAAGCCAGCUUGACUGCGAGCGUGACGGCGCGAGCAGGUGCGAAAGCAGGUCAUAGUGAUCCGGUGGUUCUGAAUGGAAGGGCCAUCGCUCAACGGAUAAAAGGUACUCCGGGGAUAACAGGCUGAUACCGCCCAAGAGUUCAUAUCGACGGCGGUGUUUGGCACCUCGAUGUCGGCUCAUCACAUCCUGGGGCUGAAGUAGGUCCCAAGGGUAUGGCUGUUCGCCAUUUAAAGUGGUACGCGAGCUGGGUUUAGAACGUCGUGAGACAGUUCGGUCCCUAUCUGCCGUGGGCGCUGGAGAACUGAGGGGGGCUGCUCCUAGUACGAGAGGACCGGAGUGGACGCAUCACUGGUGUUCGGGUUGUCAUGCCAAUGGCACUGCCCGGUAGCUAAAUGCGGAAGAGAUAAGUGCUGAAAGCAUCUAAGCACG
rnacentral:rRNA from 1 species